CAGCCGCCGCGGGAAUACGUAGGUGGCAAGCGUUGUCCGGAAUUAUUGGGCGUAAAGGGCUCGCAGGCGGUUUCUUAAGUCUGAUGUGAAAGCCCCCGGCUCAACCGGGGAGGGUCAUUGGAAGCUGGGAAACUUGAGUGCAGAAGAGGAGAGUGGAAUUCCACGUGUAGCGGUGAAAUGCGUAGAGAUGUGGAGGAACACCAGUGGCGAAGGCGACUCUCUGGUCUGUAACUGACGCUGAGGAGCGAAAGCGUGGGGAGCGAACAGGAUUAGAUACCCCUGUAGUCCCUGUCUCUGAUAC
rnacentral:rRNA from 1 species